GUCUGGAAAGGCGCGCGAUACAGGGUGACAGCCCCGUACACAAAAAUGCACAUAUUGUGAGCUCGAUGAGUAGGGCGGGACACGUGGUAUCCUGUCUGAAUAUGGGGGGACCAUCCUCCAAGGCUAAAUACUCCUGACUGACCGAUAGUGAACCAGUACCGUGAGGGAAAGGCGAAAAGAACCCCGGCGAGGGGAGUGAAAAAGAACCUGAAACCGUGUACGUACAAGCAGUGGGAGCCUCUUUAUGGGGUGACUGCGUACCUUUUGUAUAAUGGGUCAGCGACUUAUAUUCUGUAGCAAGGUUAACCGAAUAGGGGAGCCGAAGGGAAACCGAGUCUUAACUGGGCGUUAAGUUGCAGGGUAUAGACCCGAAACCCGGUGAUCUAGCCAUGGGCAGGUUGAAGGUUGGGUAACACUAACUGGAGGACCGAACCGACUAAUGUUGAAAAAUUAGCGGAUGACUUGUGGCUGGGGGUGAAAGGCCAAUCAAACCGGGAGAUAGCUGGUUCUCCCCGAAAGCUAUUUAGGUAGCGCCUCGUGAAUUCAUCUCCGGGGGUAGAGCACUGUUUCGGCAAGGGGGUCAUCCCGACUUACCAACCCGAUGCAAACUGCGAAUACCGGAGAAUGUUAUCACGGGAGACACACGGCGGGUGCUAACGUCCGUCGUGAAGAGGGAAACAACCCAGACCGCCAGCUAAGGUCCCAAAGUCAUGGUUAAGUGGGAAACGAUGUGGGAAGGCCCAGACAGCCAGGAUGUUGGCUUAGAAGCAGCCAUCAUUUAAAGAAAGCGUAAUAGCUCACUGGUCGAGUCGGCCUGCGCGGAAGAUGUAACGGGGCUAAACCAUGCACCGAAGCUGCGGCAGCGACACUAUGUGUUGUUGGGUAGGGGAGCGUUCUGUAAGCCUGUGAAGGUGGCCUGUGAGGGUUGCUGGAGGUAUCAGAAGUGCGAAUGCUGACAUAAGUAACGAUAAAGCGGGUGAAAAGCCCGCUCGCCGGAAGACCAAGGGUUCCUGUCCAACGUUAAUCGGGGCAGGGUGAGUCGACCCCUAAGGCGAGGCCGAAAGGCGUAGUCGAUGGGAAACAGGUUAAUAUUCCUGUACUUGGUGUUACUGCGAAGGGGGGACGGAGAAGGCUAUGUUGGCCGGGCGACGGUUGUCCCGGUUUAAGCGUGUAGGCUGGUUUUCCAGGCAAAUCCGGAAAACCAAGGCUGAGGCGUGAUGACGAGGCACUACGGUGCUGAAGCGACAAAUGCCCUGCUUCCAGGAAAAGCCUCUAAGCAUCAGGUAACAUCAAAUCGUACCCCAAACCGACACAGGUGGUCAGGUAGAGAAUACCAAGGCGCUUGAGAGAACUCGGGUGAAGGAACUAGGCAAAAUGGUGCCGUAACUUCGGGAGAAGGCACGCUGAUAUGUAGGUGAAGCGACUUGCUCGUGGAGCUGAAAUCAGUCGAAGAUACCAGCUGGCUGCAACUGUUUAUUAAAAACACAGCACUGUGCAAACACGAAAGUGGACGUAUACGGUGUGACGCCUGCCCGGUGCCGGAAGGUUAAUUGAUGGGGUUAGCGGUAACGCGAAGCUCUUGAUCGAAGCCCCGGUAAACGGCGGCCGUAACUAUAACGGUCCUAAGGUAGCGAAAUUCCUUGUCGGGUAAGUUCCGACCUGCACGAAUGGCGUAAUGAUGGCCAGGCUGUCUCCACCCGAGACUCAGUGAAAUUGAACUCGCUGUGAAGAUGCAGUGUACCCGCGGCAAGACGGAAAGACCCCGUGAACCUUUACUAUAGCUUGACACUGAACAUUGAGCCUUGAUGUGUAGGAUAGGUGGGAGGCUUUGAAGUGUGGACGCCAGUCUGCAUGGAGCCGACCUUGAAAUACCACCCUUUAAUGUUUGAUGUUCUAACGUUGGCCCGUAAUCCGGGUUGCGGACAGUGUCUGGUGGGUAGUUUGACUGGGGCGGUCUCCUCCUAAAGAGUAACGGAGGAGCACGAAGGUUGGCUAAUCCUGGUCGGACAUCAGGAGGUUAGUGCAAUGGCAUAAGCCAGCUUGACUGCGAGCGUGACGGCGCGAGCAGGUGCGAAAGCAGGUCAUAGUGAUCCGGUGGUUCUGAAUGGAAGGGCCAUCGCUCAACGGAUAAAAGGUACUCCGGGGAUAACAGGCUGAUACCGCCCAAGAGUUCAUAUCGACGGCGGUGUUUGGCACCUCGAUGUCGGCUCAUCACAUCCUGGGGCUGAAGUAGGUCCCAAGGGUAUGGCUGUUCGCCAUUUAAAGUGGUACGCGAGCUGGGUUUAGAACGUCGUGAGACAGUUCGGUCCCUAUCUGCCGUGGGCGCUGGAGAACUGAGGGGGGCUGCUCCUAGUACGAGAGGACCGGAGUGGACGCAUCACUGGUGUUCGGGUUGUCAUGCCAAUGGCACUGCCCGGUAGCUAAAUGCGGAAGAGAUAAGUGCUGAAAGCAUCUAAGCACGAAACUUGCCCCGAGAUGAGUUCUCCCUGAGACUUAGAGUCUCCUGAAGGAACGUUGAAGACGACGACGUUGAUAGGCCGGGUGUGUAAGCGCAGCGAUGCGUUGAGCUAACCGGUACUAAUGAACCGUGAGG
rnacentral:rRNA from 1 species